rnacentral:rRNA from 1 species
GACGAACGCUGGCGGCGUGCUUAACACAUGCAAGUCGAACGGAAAGGCCCUGCUUUUGUGGGUUGCUCGAGUGGCGAACGGGUGAGUAACACGUGAGUAACCUGCCCUUGACUUUGGGAUAACUUCAGGAAACUGGGGCUAAUACCGGAUAGGAGCUCCUGCUGCAUGGUGGUGGUUGGAAAGUUUCGGCGGUUGGGGAUGGACUCGCGGCUUAUCAGCUUGUUGGUGGGGUAGUGGCUUACCAAGGCUUUGACGGGUAGCCGGCCUGAGAGGGUGACCGGCCACAAUGGGACUGAGAUACGGACCAGACUCCUACGGGAGGCAGCAGUGGGGAAUAUUGCACAAUGGGCGGAAGCCUGAUGCAGCAACGCCGCGUGCGGGAUGACGGCCUUCGGGUUGUAAACCGCUUUCGCAUGUGACGAAGCGUGAGUGACGGUAAUGGGUAAAGAAGCACCGGCUAACUACGUG